UACGUAGGGUGCGAGCGUUAAUCGGAAUUACUGGGCGUAAAGCGUGCGCAGGCGGUUUUGUAAGCCAGAUGUGAAAUCCCCAGGCUCAACCUGGGAACUGCGUCUGAUACUGGAUGGCUUGAAUUCGGGAGAGGGAUGCAGAAUUCCAGGUGUAGCGGUGAAAUGCGUAGAUAUCUGGAGGAAUACCGGUGGCGAAGGCGGCAUCCUGGACCGACAUUGACGCUGAGGAGCGAAAGCUAGGGGAGCAAACGGG
rnacentral:rRNA from 1 species